AGUGAACGCUGGCGGUAGGCCUAACACAUGCAAGUCGAACGGCAGCACAGGAGAGCUUGCUCUCUGGGUGGCGAGUGGCGGACGGGUGAGGAAUACAUCGGAAUCUACUCUGUCGUGGGGGAUAACGUAGGGAAACUUACGCUAAUACCGCAUACGGCCUACGGGUGAAAGCAGGGGAUCUUCGGACCUUGCGCGAUUGAAUGAGCCGAUGUCGGAUUAGCUAGUUGGCGGGGUAAAGGCCCACCAAGGCGACGAUCCGUAGCUGGUCUGAGAGGAUGAUCAGCCACACUGGAACUGAGACACGGUCCAGACUCCUACGGGAGGCAGCAGUGGGGAAUAUUGGACAAUGGGCGCAAGCCUGAUCCAGCCAUACCGCGUGGGUGAAGAAGGCCUUCGGGUUGUAAAGCCCUUUUGUUGGGAAAGAAAUCCAGCUGGCUAAUACCCGGUUGGGAUGACGGUACCCAAAGAAUAAGCACCGGCUAACUACGUGCCAGCCGCCGCCGUAA
rnacentral:rRNA from 1 species